rnacentral:rRNA from 1 species
AUUGAACGCUGGCGGCAUGCCUUGCACAUGCAAGUCGAACGGUAACAGGUCUUCGGAUGCUGACGAGUGGCGAACGGGUGAGUAAUACAUCGGAACGUGCCCAGACGUGGGGGAUAACGAGGCGAAAGCUUUGCUAAUACCGCAUACGAUCUAAGGAUGAAAGCAGGGGACCGCAAGGCCUUGCGCGUUUGGAGCGGCCGAUGGCAGAUUAGGUAGUUGGUGGGAUAAAAGCUUACCAAGCCGACGAUCUGUAGCUGGUCUGAGAGGACGACCAGCCACACUGGGACUGAGACACGGCCCAGACUCCUACGGGAGGCAGCAGUGGGGAAUUUUGGACAAUGGGCGAAAGCCUGAUCCAGCAAUGCCGCGUGCAGGAUGAAGGCCUUCGGGUUGUAAACUGCUUUUGUACGGAACGAAAAGGCUCUGGCUAAUACCUGGGGCACAUGACGGUACCGGAAGAAUAAGCACCGGCUAACUACGUG